rnacentral:pre_miRNA from 1 species
UUAACUCAAAUUUGUACGGAGUUGGAACGGCGCCCCUAGCGGCAAACGUAGGCAAACGUUCCAACUUCAUACAAAUAUGAGUUA